GAGCACGUAGGUGGGUUUGUAAGUCAGAUGUGAAAGCCUUCUGUUCAACGGAAGAAUUGCAUCUGAAACUGCUAAUCUUGAGUAUAGGAGGGGAGAAUGGAACUUCUGGUGGAGCGGUGAAAUGCGUAGAUAUCAGAAGGAACGCCGGCGGCGAAAGCGAUUCUCUGGCCUAUUACUGGCACUCAGUGUGCGAAAGCUAGGGGAGCAAACGGGAUUAGAUACCCCGGUAGUCCUAGCCGUAAACGAUGGGCACUAAGUAGAGGGGUUUU
rnacentral:rRNA from 1 species